GAUGAACGCUGGCGGCGUGCCUAAUACAUGCCAGUCGAGCGAACGGACGAGAAGCUUGCUUCUCUGAUGUUAGCGACGGACGGGUGAGUAACACGUGGAUAACCUACCUAUAAGACUGGGAUAACUUCGGGAAACCGGAGCUAAUACCGGAUAAUAUUUUGAACCGCAUGGUUCAAAAGUGAAAGACGGUCUUGCUGUCACUUAUAGAUGGAUCUGCGCUGCAUUAGCUAGUUGGUAAGGUAACGGCUUACCAAGGCAACGAUGCAUAGCCGACCUGAGAGGGUGAUCGGCCACACUGGAACUGAGACACGGUCCAGACUCCUACGGGAGGCAGCAGUAGGGAAUCUUCCGCAAUGGGCGAAAGCCUGACGGAGCAACGCCGCGUGAGUGAUGAAGGUCUUCGGAUCGUAAAACUCUGUUAUUAGGGAAGAACAUAUGUGUAAGUAACUGUGCACAUCUUGACGGUACCUAAUCAGAAAGCCACGGCUAACUACGUG
rnacentral:rRNA from 1 species